CGUGUGUACGAUGCUCCGCUGGCAAUUCGUACGAUCUGCGUCAUUGACCAAUGGCACGGACGAUACACUGCUGAAAACAAUUAGGGGAUCACGAUUCAGGAGAGUGAAUCGGGGAUGAAAGAAAUCUCGUGCGAUACGAUUGAUUGGCACUGUUUAUCAGGCAACAUUUUCAGAGUCGUUCGUCAACCAUUCCUUGAAAUCUGCGAUUGGAUCGCUGGUAUAGUUGGUGGAUAACCAUCCAUUUGAGUCUGAUGCAAGUGGUCCAUGAACACCAAACCAAGCUGGUCAAUUCGAUACAUAUAACACAGACAUCUUUGGUACCGGAAAUGUCUUUUUUUUGGAAACCCUGACGCACUGAAACCACCAUAACGUCGACGUUUUCGAAAAUUUUUCAAUAAAAUUUUGAAAAGUCGUUGCUGGAAAUGUAUACUGUAAAACGAUAUUGGCAUUAACUCGGAUCUUCUUGUCAGUUCCUAUUCUUCGAGUAAAGCGGCAAUGACAGCUCGCCAAGUGUGUCAUUUUUAAUUACUUUACGAGACGCCCCCCUCCCCCAAAGAAGCUUCCGUAAACCGAUACUGAUAGUAUUUAAAGUAAUUAAUUAAUCAUCGACAAUGAAAUGUAAUAUUACUUAUUGUAGAAUCACAGAGCAACUUUGUUAAAAUAAUCUACAAUGUUUCGAUUGUUGUAUAUGAUCCUCUUAAUUAUUAGACUGCAGAUGUUUAUAUAAAUUUAGUAAAGUAUGUCUUGUCUCCUAAACAGUUUAACACAUGAUUUAUUUUCCGUCUCUGUUAAAUUUCUUCUCUGUUAAAUAUCUUCUAAACAAUGUAAUUUUAUGUUUUUGCAUUCAUGAACAAUUUUCCAUGUAUUUUCUGACAAUUUCACUAGCCAUGAAUACAUAAGCAUCCCCAGUCUAAUAAUCACAGACAAUCCACAUGACUCGUUGAAGGAUACGAAGAAUUUCUUGGUUGCAUCCUACGACAUCGAAAUGAAGUUUAACACGUUGGUCUCCAGAAAUAGAUGACAGGACAUUUCAUUAAGGAACUAAAGAAAUUAAUUCCAAAAUUAAGGAUAAUGAAAAUAAAUUUGGAGAGGAUUUGUGAAUUAAAUAAGUUAAACAAUUAAAUACUACAACAAACGUUGAAUUAUCUAAUAUGCAGCAGUCUCGAUAGGAAAUUUUAAACUUGGAGAAAUUUUCACGGGUUUUUAGUUCGACAGCCAACGUGUUAAUCAACUAAUCUAGAAUCGAAUCGUUGAUCAUCGUAAUAGUAGAAAGAGUUGAAACCAAGAUGUUCUUAUCCAACGUUUACAUGUCAACAAACGUGCUUUUUAAUGAAAAGUAUCGUUCAGGAAUCGGAGCGAAGGACGAGCUUUUACGCUUUGCUCGAUGUCGUCGAGCCUGAUCUCGGUCAGAUGCGCGGCUUUAUUAAAAAUUCUUGCCUAUUGCCACCGGCGCAACAGCCAAGUCCGUCGAGAGCAUUGAAAGGAACUCACAAAUUACAUUAUUAGUACCCUCAGACACGCGUCACUGUCUAAUUCGGCACGGACGAGCGUAGACAAUAUCGUACGUCAUCGAGCGGUACCAUUUUCGUACCUUUCGCGAUAGUUUUCGUUCCAAACAGAAAAUUCGAAGGGAGAACGCCGUGCCUUCGCUUCGCUAUUAAUUACUUCUCGUUUGAAAGCACAGAAUCGUCUUACGUUCGACGCAAGUACGCGCGUACUAUGUAAACUUGUAAAACUAAUUUAUACCGACUGUUUAUCAUUAUUCGCUAAUAAUCGAUUUAUAAUUCAUGACUUUCAUGCCGCCGAGCGAUGACGUUUGAGGCCAAUAUGCCGAUGCCUUUUGUCGAUAUUGCCCGUUUAUCAUUUUUAUUAUUCUUGUAACAUUUUGUUCAAAUUACUUGGUUUAAAUUAUAUCUAACUCGUUUAUUCGCCGUUUGUUAAAUGAAAAUUAGACUUUGAAUUCUAAAAUGAAAAUGCAUUUUAACAAUAAAAAAAUGAUGUUUGAUGUGUGAUGCAGCUGUUCAAUCGAAUAAAUGUCGACGAUAUAUUGCUAUAUGUAUGUGUUUUAAAGCGUCAUCUAUUGUUACAAUAAAAUUAUGUCCAACGUUGUCAUGGGAACCCAGUUUUGGACGAUUGCUAACGUUUUCGAAUUAAUUGCAUAAAAACUUCAGAAACAUAGAUCUUGGAACACUUGUGACAUUUCAUAAGUAAUUGAAAACGUUGAAAAUAUUCAAUUUCUUCUCAUUUUUGAGUGUUUAGAACACAUUUCAUAUUUACCGAUGAUAACUAAAGGGUAAAGUUCGAAGAUGUUUUAUCAUUGCAUGGGAGGACCACGAAUACCCACGAAUUUAGAAAGUUCCAAGGUUCCAUGACGAUCGAUACAAUCAUUUCAAAUAUUUCGUGCAAUACGAUCAGACGACUCGACCUUACGAUGGUUUGCUUCGCGAUAAGCAAACUUCUCGUCUAUGUACAUACAAUUUUCAACUAAUUAGAAUAGAACUAAUCAACAGUUUAUUUAUCGCUCGUUAAGGAAAUCCAAAAAUUUGUACAGAGUUAAAUAUUCCCCGAAUACCAAAGACCAGAUAAAAGUCUCGCCGUUCGAUCUACCAAGCGCGUCACACAAUCGACCACCAUACAUACGUUGGCUCGAUUCGCGAUCGAUUAAUCAAUCUAAAUCCACGAAAAGAC